rnacentral:rRNA from 1 species
GAAAGUAAGCAAGGGCAGACGGUGGAUGCCUUGGCUCUCGGAGGCGACGAAGGACGUGAUAAGCUGCGAAAAGCCCGGGGGAGGCGCAAAUAGCCGUUGAUCCCGGGAUAUCCGAAUGGGGCAACCCGGCAGGCUGAAGGCCUGCCAUCCCGUAAGGGAGGCGAACGUGGGGAACUGAAACAUCUAAGUACCCAUAGGAGGAGAAAAUAAACAAUGAUUCCGUAAGUAGUGGCGAGCGAACACGGAAGAGCCCAAACCCGUGCCGUCUAGGCGACACGGGGGUUGUAGGACCACGACGUGGCAAGAAGGAAGGGAAAUGGAACGACUUGGAAAAGUCGGCCAUAGACGGUGAAAGCCCGGUACAUGACUCCCUUACGAAGCCUAGUGGUAUCCUGAGUAGCGCGGGGCACGAGAAAUCUUGCGUGAAUUAGCGGGGCCCAUCCCGUAAGGCUAAAUACUCCCGAGAGACCGAUAGCGAACCAGUACUGUGAAGGAAAGGUGAAAAGAACCUCGAACAGAGGAGUGAAACAGACCCUGAAACCAUGCGCCUACAAGCGGUCGGAGCAUGUUAAAAUGUGACGGCGUGCCUUUUGCAUAAUGAACCUACGAGUUACUCUCGCUGGCAAGGUUAAGCGAUUCAGUCGCGCAGCCGAAGCGAAAGCAAGUCCGAAUAAGGCGUACAGUCAGCGGGAGUAGACGCGAAACCAAGUGAUCUACCCUUGGUCAGGUUGAAGGUUGGGUAACACUAACUGGAGGACCGAACCGACUAAUGUUGAAAAAUUAGCGGAUGACUUGUGGCUGGGGGUGAAAGGCCAAUCAAACCGGGAGAUAGCUGGUUCUCCCCGAAAGCUAUUUAGGUAGCGCCUCGUGAAUUCAUCUCCGGGGGUAGAGCACUGUUUCGGCAAGGGGGUCAUCCCGACUUACCAACCCGAUGCAAACUGCGAAUACCGGAGAAUGUUAUCACGGGAGACACACGGCGGGUGCUAACGUCCGUCGUGAAGAGGGAAACAACCCAGACCGCCAGCUAAGGUCCCAAAGUCAUGGUUAAGUGGGAAACGAUGUGGGAAGGCCCAGACAGCCAGGAUGUUGGCUUAGAAGCAGCCAUCAUUUAAAGAAAGCGUAAUAGCUCACUGGUCGAGUCGGCCUGCGCGGAAGAUGUAACGGGGCUAAACCAUGCACCGAAGCUGCGGCAGCGACACUAUGUGUUGUUGGGUAGGGGAGCGUUCUGUAAGCCUGUGAAGGUGGCCUGUGAGGGUUGCUGGAGGUAUCAGAAGUGCGAAUGCUGACAUAAGUAACGAUAAAGCGGGUGAAAAGCCCGCUCGCCGGAAGACCAAGGGUUCCUGUCCAACGUUAAUCGGGGCAGGGUGAGUCGACCCCUAAGGCGAGGCCGAAAGGCGUAGUCGAUGGGAAACAGGUUAAUAUUCCUGUACUUGGUGUUACUGCGAAGGGGGGACGGAGAAGGCUAUGUUGGCCGGGCGACGGUUGUCCCGGUUUAAGCGUGUAGGCUGGUUUUCCAGGCAAAUCCGGAAAACCAAGGCUGAGGCGUGAUGACGAGGCACUACGGUGCUGAAGUGACAAAUGCCCUGCUUCCAGGAAAAGCCUCUAAGCAUCAGGUAACAUCAAAUCGUACCCCAAACCGACACAGGUGGUCAGGUAGAGAAUACCAAGGCGCUUGAGAGAACUCGGGUGAAGGAACUAGGCAAAAUGGUGCCGUAACUUCGGGAGAAGGCACGCUGAUAUGUAGGUGAAGCGACUUGCUCGUGGAGCUGAAAUCAGUCGAAGAUACCAGCUGGCUGCAACUGUUUAUUAAAAACACAGCACUGUGCAAACACGAAAGUGGACGUAUACGGUGUGACGCCUGCCCGGUGCCGGAAGGUUAAUUGAUGGGGUUAGCGGUAACGCGAAGCUCUUGAUCGAAGCCCCGGUAAACGGCGGCCGUAACUAUAACGGUCCUAAGGUAGCGAAAUUCCUUGUCGGGU